rnacentral:sRNA from 1 species
GGCAAUAUCAAUCACUGUGCCAGAGCU